rnacentral:rRNA from 1 species
UACGGAGGGUGCAAGCGUUAAUCGGAAUUACUGGGCGUAAAGAGUGCGUAGGUGGUUAAUUAAGUUAUCUGUGAAAUCCCCGGGCUCAACCUGGGCAGGUCAGAUAAUACUGGUUAACUCGAGUAUGGGAGAGGGUAGUGGAAUUUCCGGUGUAGCGGUGAAAUGCGUAGAGAUCGGAAGGAACACCAGUGGCGAAGGCGGCUACCUGGCCUAAUACUGACACUGAGGCACGAAAGCGUGGGGAGCAAACAGG